UACGUAGGGUGCAAGCGUUAUCCGGAAUUAUUGGGCAUAAAGAGCUCGUAGGCGGUUUGUCGCGUCUGCUGUGAAAACUGGAGGCUCAACCUCCAGCCUGCAGUGGGUACGGGCAGACUAGAGUGCGGUAGGGGAGAUUGGAAUUCCUGGUGUAGCGGUGGAAUGCGCAGAUAUCAGGAGGAACACCGGUGGCGAAGGCGGAUCUCUGGGCCUUACCUGACGCUGAGGCGCGAAAGCUAGGGGAGCGAACAGG
rnacentral:rRNA from 1 species